rnacentral:misc_RNA from 1 species
GAUGAAGAACGCAGCGAAAUGCGAUAAGUAAUGUGAAUUGCAGAAUUCAGUGAAUCAUCGAAUCUUUGAACGCACAUUGCGCCCGCCAGUAUUCUGGCGGGCAUGCCUGUCUGAGCGUCAUUUCAACCCUCAUGCCCCUAGGGCGUGGUGUUGGGGAUCGGCCAAAGCCCGCGAGGGACGGCCGGCCCCUAAAUCUAGUGGCGGACCCGUCGUGGCCUCCUCUGCGAAGUAGUGAUAUUCCGCAUCGGAGAGUGACGAGCCCCUGCCGUUAAACCCCCAACUUUCCAAGGUUGACCUCAGAUCAGGUAGGAAUACCCGCUGAACUUAAGCAUAUCAAUAAGCGGAGGA